rnacentral:lncRNA from 1 species
GUAUAAUACAUGAUUAGUGACUGAUGUUCCUUUUCUCAUUCGAGCGUUGAAGAUGGCACAACUAGUCUUAUACCUCUCAACGUCAUCGGGUGUGCCAAAGGACUCGUUCAAUAUUUGCAACAUAUUCUAUGGCAGAGCAUUCUCAAAAUAAUAGCUGAACUCAUCAUUCAUUGCCGCUAGCAUAAUAUAACGAACCAUAGUUCGAUCGUUGAGCCACUUCUGAUAAGUGU